rnacentral:misc_RNA from 1 species
CAGCAGCAGCAAAUGGGAUAUAGCUGAAAAGUUUUGGCAUAAUUGUGCUUUCAUCUUAUGUUAUAAGUGGCGUGAUGGUGUGACUGGUGCCAGUUCCGUAUAUUAUAUGCUUCUCAGGGACCAAUUCCGGCUGUGUUGUUUCUUUGCUAAUAGUUAUAGCUUAUGCACUGUAGAAAGCAUUAUUCUACUAAAUUUUGCAUAAUUGCUAUCUUAAUGUGCUCUUAUGGUAUGUUGUUAUCUCCAUGUAUUAUGGUUGCUUCUUGGAUAUGAAUAUUCUGAUCGAAUGGACAAGGCUUUGUCUUCUCCAAAAAAAA